GGCGUUGCCGCGGUAACGGGCCGGGAAGGUGGCGGCCAUGGCGGGCCCGGGCAAGGGGAUCCCGGUGGAACCCGGGCCGGGGUGUCGGGGUGUGAGCAGGGCUGGGGGCGGCUCGUGAGGAGCCCCCGGGCAGGAGCGGCGCAAGCCCCGUGGGGUUUGAGCGCUGCCAGGUCUGAGGGAAGCCGGUUCCGCUCCUCAGACAGGCCCUGUGGUUCCGCCGGACGGUUCCGCAGUCGCUUCCCCCGGGGCGGAGGCCGAGCUUCGGCCCCGGAGAGGCGGAAUGUCGGCUGUUCGCUCGGGAAAAGCUGCCUUUCCAAAGCCUCCCAGCCCUGUAGGGGUCCUCCCGCGCCAGGGCCCCCCGGGAGUGGCGUUUGUCCCCUUUUGAAGGGCUCAGGACGUGCGACAAGCGAUGCCCUUGGGCAGAGUUCGUGUCCCGGGCCCUGCUGUGCUUUGUGCUGGGCUCUGCUCCCCUUGGGCGGUGCUGUUCGCUGGAGAGGGCAGAACGCGGCGGGAUUCUUUGUGAAACCCUCGGCGUUUGAGGUGGGAGGGUUCUGUGGCUUUAUGUUGAGCUCCUGCGUUAGGAACGGUAAUGAAUUCUGACGGGUCUCUUUUGUUAGGGGUGAAUGUGCCGCGCCUUUGUUGCCGGCUUUUCUGCAGCACGGUGCUCCCACCCUUCAGUCCCCUGCCAGUGCAUCCAGGCACAUCCAGGACCGGCUUUGUCAUUCCAGGUGCUCAGGCCGUGUGACUCUUAUGAACUCUGGAUUAAUGGAUUACCCUGAUUUGGAAUGAGCUGGAGAACACUGAGUUAUUCCUGUGGAACUUCAUGUGCUCCACACAAAAUUUAACAGCUGGUUUUGCUUAUGCUUCUGACUGUGAACUCUUUACUGCGAUACCAGUCAUGCAUGAUGAAGCUGCAACAGAAAUUACUUUGUAAAGAUUGUGAAAUGAGAGUGUGAGAUAACUUAAGGGAAGAAAAAAUAAAUUUAAAACUCCUCCUAAA